AUUGAACGCUGGCGGAAUGCUUUACACAUGCAAGUCGAACGGCAGCACGGACUUCGGUCUGGUGGCGAGUGGCGAACGGGUGAGUAACAUAUCGGAACGUAUCCAAUAAUGGGGGAUAACUAAUCGAAAGGUUGGCUAAUACCGCAUACGCCCUACGGGGGAAAGCUAGGGACCUUCGGGCCUGGCGUUAAUGGAGCGGCCGAUAUCUGAUUAGCUAGUUGGUGGGGUAAAGGCCCACCAAGGCGACGAUCAGUAGCUGGUCUGAGAGGACGACGCGCCACACUGGAACUGGGACACGGUCCAGGAUCCGACGGGAGGCAGCAGUGGGGAAUUUUGGACAAUGGGCGCAAGCCUGAUCCAGCCAGUCCGCGUGAGUGAAGAAGGCCUUCGGGUUGUAAAGCUCUUUCGCAAGGGAAGAAAACUUAUCCUCUAACAUAGGGUGAGGUUGACGGUACCUUGAUAAGAAGCACCGGCUAACUACGUGCCAGCCGCCGCGGUAAAAC
rnacentral:rRNA from 1 species